ACAACCGAGGUGCAAAGGCUGUCGCUGACCCUCAAAGGUUGUGCACGCCCGAGCGCUCUCACACAAUCCAUCUCACCUUUGUGCAUCACCGCGUGGGUCCCCUUUGCGGGAGGGCUCGCGUUUUCACAUAAUAACUCGAUACAGUGUAGAAUGUUUCUUUUGCGGUCACACGCAAUCAAUACAACUUUCAACAACGGAUCUCUUGGCUCUCGCAUCGAUGAAGAACGCAGCGAAAUGCGAUACGUAAUGUGAAUUGCAGAAUUCAGUGAAUCAUCGAAUCUUUGAACGCACCUUGCGCCCCUUGGCAUUCCGAGGGGCACACCCGUUUGAGUGUCGUGAAUUCUUCAAAACCCUUUUUUCUUCGAACCAUCGUGGUCGGGAAAAGGAUUUUUGGACUUGGAGGUUUAAUGCUCGCCCUUUCUUUUGAAAGCGAGCUCCUCUCAAAUGAAUUAGUGGGGUCCGCUUUGCUGAUCCUUGACGUGAUAAAAUGUUUCUACGUUUUGGGUUUAGCACUGUCGCUUGGNUGCCUGCUCCUAACCCGUCUCAUUGACAAUGAUGGUGCUCUGGUCACUGCCGUCUACAUCGGCGGGAGGCUGGACCCACAAAAGAAAANCCUUGA
rnacentral:rRNA from 1 species